UGAACGCUGGCGGCGUGCUUAACACAUGCAAGUCGAACGCGAAAGGUUCUUCGGGAGCCGAGUAGAGUGGCGCACGGGUGAGUAACGCGUGGGUAAUCUACCCCUGGAUCUUGGAUAACAUAUCGAAAGGUGUGCUAAUACGGGAUGAAGUCUUGCUGGAUGAGUUUGGUGAGAUGAAAGUUCGCGCAAGCGGAUGUCCGGGGAUGAGCCUGCGUACCAUUAGCUAGUUGGUGGGGUAAAGGCUUACCAAGGCAACGAUGGUUAGCUGGUCUGAGAGGAUGAUCAGCCACACUGGAACUGGAACACGGUCCAGACUCCUACGGGAGGCAGCAGUGAGGAAUUUUGCGCAAUGGGGGAAACCCUGACGCAGCAACGCCGCGUGAGUGACGAAGGCCUUCGGGUCGUAAACCGCUUUCAGCAGGGACGAGGCAAGACGGUACCUGCAGAAGAAGCCCCGGCUAACUACGUGCCAGCAGCCGCGGUAAUACGUAGGGGGCGAGCGUUAUCCGGAUUCAUUGGGC
rnacentral:rRNA from 1 species